rnacentral:rRNA from 1 species
UCUUAGCAACCCGAUUUGGUCCUAGUCCUCUCCUUGGUUCUGUCUAAACCGAUACAUGCGAGAAAAUUAACAGUACAGUGAGUAAAAUUAGAGUUAAACUAUAAAGAAAUAACUUUUAUAAGAGGUAUCAGAAAAUUAACCAAGAAUUCCAAGACACCUAGACGCCCACAUCUGCAGUACCUAACAUUACACAAUAAGCAAAAGCUUGAUAUAGUUAUAGACUAAAGAGUUGGUUAAUUAUGUGCCAGCCACCGCGGUUAUACAUAAGACUCAAACUAAGAAACUUGUAUCGGUCUAAAAGUGAUUAGGGAUAAACUACUUUAAGGUGAAAAACAACUUCAGUACUAAUAAGCUUUUACAGUAAACUAACAACUAAACAAAACCUACCUUAAAUCCCCCGAAACACUAAAGCUCAAAAAUAAACUGGGAUUAGAUACCCCACUAUAUGAGCCGUAAAAAACCAAAAACACCCAGAGAA